rnacentral:misc_RNA from 1 species
UGACUUUCCCAUCGUUCGGGGCAUUCUGGGGCUGUUUUGGCUGUUGGUUGCUUGUUUGGUCUUGAACCAAACGGGUGGCUUCUAGUCUGGUGGCUUCGGGGAUGCUGACCGUAAAGGUGGAUGAGUGGUGUUUGGUUUGUUACGUGUGGUUGGCUGCGGCGUUUGCAACAACUUCCAUGCUUUCAGACCUCUUCAGUUGUGCGGCAAGGCUUGUAUCGCCUUGAGCGUAUUGUGGGUUUUCUGUGUUGGCUACCUAAUCAACGGUAUCGGUUGGAUUGAUCAAAGUUUGAUUUCGUCUUCCGUCGCGUUCGCGGCGUGAGGUGAACCUUGAUGCGGUCUCUUUGAUCCACCUCGUCGAAGCACAUGCUUCGACGUUGUGGCGCAUUGAGCAUUGCUUGGUCUCUUGUAUACGGAACAUAUAGUGGGCAUGGAUCUAACGAUUCUUGUUUGCCCUCAUAUUAGCGUAACGCUUCUCUAACACGACUUGUGCCACGUUUUAG